rnacentral:ncRNA from 1 species
GGCCGGAUAAGGCGUUUACGCCGCAUCCGGCAAUCAACGCCUGAUGCGAGGCUGGUUGCGUCUUAUCAGGCC